GAUGAACGCUGGCGGCGUGCCUAAUACAUGCAAGUCGAGCGAACAGACGAGGAGCUUGCUCCUUUGACGUUAGCGGCGGACGGGUGAGUAACACGUAGGUAACCUACCUAUAAGACUGGGAUAACUUCGGGAACCCGGAGCUAAUCCCGGAUAAUUUUUCGAACCGAUUGGUUCGUUAGUUAAAGUUGGUUUUCUUUUCACUUUUAUAUGGACUUGCGCCGUAUUAGCUAGUUGGUAAGUUAACGGCUUACCAAGGCAACGAUACGUAGCCGACCUGAGAGGGUGAUCGGCCACACUGGAACUGAGACACGGUCCAGACUCCUACGGGAGGCAGCAGUAGGGAAUCUUCCGCAAUGGGCGAAAGCCUGACGGAGCAACGCCGCGUGAGUGAUGAAGGUCUUCGGAUCGUAAAACUCUGUUAUUAGGGAAGAACAAACGUGUAAGUAACUGUGCACGUCUUGACGGUACCUAAUCAGAAAGCCACGGCUAACUACGUG
rnacentral:rRNA from 1 species